rnacentral:rRNA from 1 species
GACGAACGCUGGCGGCGUGCCUAAUACAUGCAAGUCGAACGCACAGUUUAUACCGUAGCUUGCUACACCAUAGACUGUGAGUUGCGAACGGGUUAGUAACGCGUCGGUAACCUGCCUGGUAGCGGGGGAUAACUAUUGGAAACGCUAGCUAAUACCGCAUACUAUUCAUUAUUGCAUGAUAAUUAACUGAACGGUGCAAUUGCACCACUACCUGAUGGACCUGCGUUGUAUUAGCUAGUAGGUAAGGUCACGGCUCACCUAGGCGAGGAUACAUAACCCACCGGAGUGGGUGGGCGGCCCAACUGAGACUGUGACACGGCCCAGACGCCUACGGGAGGCAGCAGUAGGGAAGCUUCGGCCAGGGACGAAAGACAGACCGAGCAACGCCGCGUGAGUGAAGAAGGUUGUCGGAUCGUAAAGCUCGGUUGUAAGAGAAGAACGGGUGUGAGAGUGGAAAGUUCACACUGUGACGGUAACUGACCAGAAAGGGACGGCUAACUACGUG